rnacentral:sRNA from 1 species
CUCAUUUUGUGUAAAUAACACACAUGUAUCGACACCUACGCCGGGGUGCCUGGAUGAUUUGUAAAAAUCGAUGGGUCGGUUGUACGGGAUACAUGGAGGCUUAAC